CUUUUCUUCUUUAUGCUUCUCUUUAUCUUCAUGACUACCGUGCUCUCGAUCUCCCUCCUCCAACUGCCCCAGCUUUUCAUUUGUCACCUGCAAGUCGUUAUCAAGUCCCUCUGUGUGCAGCUUCACUUUCCUUUCAAAAUGUUGUAUGAUGCCCUUAGUGCGAGGUGUAUGUGGUGUUUCGUUACCAUCAUCUGCCCCUGGCAUAGUUCAAAGACAAAGACAACAAAAAGGCAAGUGAAGAAAUAAAAGCCCUACAACUACUAGGAUGUAGCUACAGCAAGUCGCUCACACUCAACCUGUAACACAAGUUCUUACCAAUUCUUACCUUGCUUGACACGAGGGGUCGUCUGCCAACAAGUGUACAACAAUGGACGAAGUGUAUCGGUGCUGCAGCACAAGACCUGUCAAGCUGUAGAGUAUGUGGAGCUAUAGGUGGGCUGAAACAAGGAACGAACUAGCACCACGUUAGUUAUAAAAGUGAGCUGAAUAAGCGUUCGACGAUGGUACUGUGCUGGUCCUAGGCUAGACCGUGCUAGAGACGCGAGCCUGGACACAGCACACCCCCGAAAACAAGGUGGAACAAACCUAAAAUCAAUAUGAAAAACAGCCCCUUCUUUUUUUUCUUUUGAAUCUUUUCUCUUUUUUUUUCUUUUUUUUUGGGCAACCUCAAAAACUGAUUAUAUGAACAAAAGAAUACAAAAGAGCAAUUCGCUACACACACUUUUUUCUGAAAGUACAGGGGUAUUCCGGUAAAAAGAAGAAUACAAAAGAGCAAUUCUCUCUCUCUCUCUCUCUAGAGUAAGGCCGAACAAGUAUGGAGUUAUCCUUCUUUUUUUAUCACGUUGGUGGAACUCAGAUUGGAACUCUACUCGAUCCGGACCAAGACCACAGUUCAAUUUGGAAUUCGCAACAGAUUCGACAGAGAGAAGAUAUGGUAAUACUCGGCUGUGUAUAGAUGGUGACAAGAACUCGAAACUCUAAAGGACAGGACACUAAGACCAGCAACUCGACACAAACCGAAGCAACGCAAAUUCAACAAGCCCUAACUAAAACGGUACUAGCCAAGGCACAAAGGUUUAAUAGGAUUAUGGAAAAACUAAUCUACUUUAUUUUCUUGGCUUUUCUGGACUACAGG
rnacentral:lncRNA from 1 species